rnacentral:rRNA from 1 species
GGUGAACGCUGGCGGCGUGCCUAACACAUGCAAGUCGAGCGAACAGACGAGGAGCUUGCUCCUCUGACGUUAGCGGCGGACGGGUGAGUAACACGUGGAUAACCUACCUAUAUGACUGGGAUAACUUCGGGAAACCGGAUCUAAUACCGGAUAAUAUAUUGAACCGCAUGGUUCAAUAGUGAAAGACGGUUUUGCUGUCACUUAUAGAUGGAUCCGCGCCGCAUUAGCUAGUUGGUAAGGUAACGGCUUACCAAGGCUACGAUGCGUAGCCGACCUGAGAGGGUGAUCGGCCACACUGGAACUGAGACACGGUCCAGACUCCUACGGGAGGCAGCAGUAGGGAAUCUUCCGCAAUGGGCGAAAGCUUGACGGAGCAACGCCGCGUGAGUGAUGAAGGUCUUCGGAUCGUAAAACUCUGUUAUUAGGGAAGAACAAAUGUGUAAGUAACUAUGCACGUCUUGACGGUACCUAAUCAGAAAGCCACGGCUAACUACGUG